rnacentral:rRNA from 1 species
GUGGAUUAGAUACCCUGGUAGUCCUGGCAGUAAACGGUGCACGUUUGGUGUGGGAGGAUUCGACCCCUUCUGCGCCGGAGCUAACGCGUUAAACGUGCCGCCUGGGGAGUACGGUCGCAAGAUUAAAACUCAAAGAAAUUGACGGGGGCCCGCACAAGCGGUGGAGUAUGUGGCUUAAUUCGAUGCAACGCGAAGAACCUUACCUGGCCUUGACAUGCAUUGCUAAACUGGUGAAAGCCAGUGAGUGUCGAAAGACACACCUUGCACAGGUGCUGCACGGCCGUCGACAGCU